CAGUAGCCGCGGUAAUACGGAGGGUGCAAGCGUUAUCCGGAUUCACUGGGUUUAAAGGGUGCGUAGGCGGAUCUGUAAGUCAGUGGUGAAAUCUCCAGGCUUAACCUGGAAACUGCCGUUGAUACUAUAGGUCUUGAAUUUUGUGGAGGUUAGCGGAAUAUGUCAUGUAGCGGUGAAAUGCAUAGAUAUGUCUCAGAACACCAAUUGCGAAGGCAGCUUACUAAGGUAUGAUUGACGCUGAUGCACGAAAGCGUGGGGAUCAAACAGGAUUAGAUACCCCGGUAGUCCCUGUCUCUUAUAC
rnacentral:rRNA from 1 species